UAACAAUGGUGUGCAGCAAAAUGCUUAGAUUGCAAAUCCAGGGCUUGAAGGCUUCCCCAUCACUUGCCAACAUUACUUAUUUAAAGUUCAGCUUCCCCCGCUGAUUACUGUCGUCUUCCUGCCACUGAAGCAGAUUUUGAAGAAAAGGUUUUUCUUCCAGCUGACUCAAUAAGCAGUUCUCUCAUGAAGGAAACCAGAAAUAUAAUGUAGAAGAACAGCUUAGGGAAGCUUUAAAAGAGGGCAGGAACUGGUUGGACUAGACGAAGCGUGUUGAUCCUUCAGAAUAUAUUAUAGCAUUGGCAACAGUGUGCAACAUCUACAACAGACCCUGGAGGAACUCGAUGAGGCUCCUCAGACAGCACCUUUCAAAACCGUAACUUUGAGAAGGACAAGAGCAACAGAUACAUGGAAAUACAGUCACUUGUACGUCCCCGUCCAAGACACUCGCCAUCCUGACUUGGAAAUAUAUCACUGUUCCUUCAGUGUCACUAGGUCAAAGGUCUGAAACUCCCUGGCUAACAGCACUGUUGCUACAGUGGCUCAAGAAAGCAGCUCACCACCACGUUCUCCAGGGCAAUUAGGGAUGAGUACUAAUUCUGUCCAAUAAUGCUCACAUCCCCAUCAGCAAAUAAAGUAAACAAAAAAUUCUUUACCUGACAGAGAAGAUAGAUUCAUACAGCUAGAGGAUUUCCUUUUAAACAGCAUCUUUCACAACCUGAAGAAGCCCCAAAGUGCUUUACGCUAAUGACACACCACUGAAACUCAGUCACUGCUGUAUGCAAAUUUGUAUCUUGCAAGAUCCAACAAGUAACAAUGUGACAAAAAGAAAUUGACCUCUUUCAGUAAUGUUUGUGAUGGAUCAAUAUUGUUCAGAGUUCUCAGCCCUUUUUAGAAAUAGUGAUGGAAGUUUUACAUCCAAUUAAGAGGGCAAAGAGAUUAAUAUCUUGCCAGAAAGGCAGUCCUGCCCUUCCUUGGUCAAGGUCAGCCUGGAUUUUAUACUUGUGCUUCUGUCAUGAAACCUGAACCCUCAAUAUUUCGCUGUAGCUUCAGUGAGAAUGAGACCCAGCCACAGUAGGGAAUUUGUGUUUAUUUCCACAAAAUUUCAGGAUGAGAAACAAACAUCUUGCAAGUUAUCUGCGAUUUAUGGACAACUUCAAGCUAUUCUGUGAUCACAAAUGCCCAGAAACUAAUGGCAGACAGGACUGUGACAAGAAUCAAGCAACCUGCAUCUCUUCAGGAUCUUUGGUAAUUGUAUGCCUGGAGAAGAGCUCUCUGUAAAUCAUGAAGCAAAUAACCUUGGUAUGAAGACAGUCAUCUGGUCAUCAGAGUGAAGUUUUCUUUCUUACAAAACUAAGAACUGGUUUAAAUAAUGCAGUGGGUAGCUUACUGUAAUAGAUCUGGAAGAUGGUGUUUCAUACAAUGCUAAAGUCUCCCUUUUAUUCUGAUUACUAGUGCACAAUGUGUAACAUUGGCAUUACCUUCUGCCUUGGCAUCUUCACAUUCACUCCUUAACAAUAUCCGUUCUGUUUUCUAGCCAGUUACAAAACAGCAAGGACAAUUUAUGACAAGAUAAUAAAGCUAUUUUUUCCAUACUUUCCCAUCUAAUCUCUUAGUUACUUGUCCUCUGUUCUCUCUAAGGUAAAUCAAUAGGAAUGGAGGACCUACUGUGCAGCCAAAAUGUAGCUAUUAACACGUUGGAAUAAACUAUGAGUGUUCCUCAGCAUGUGUUUCGGCCAUGACUGUGAAUACUAUUUUUACACAGCCUAUCUUGAAAGGAAGACCAAUUGUAUUGUCUGAUUGCAUGAUAACUCAAAGGAGAGGGUUCAAAGGAGAAAACAGUGAUCUGUUAGCAAACAGAUGCACAGUUUCCCUCGGAUGCAUGCUAAUUAAGUUAUGGUGUGGUGUCCUGAGAUAUUUAUUAAAACCGAGGACACAAUGGUAACUACAGGGAGCCCAAUUUCUGGCACAGUGCCAGUAGAAGAUAAAGCUUCAGUA